rnacentral:tRNA from 1 species
GCUAAUAGGGCUGCUGUAGCAGGUUACUUUGAUAUAGUAAAUUGUAAAUGGUUGUAUUUCGUUAGUA